rnacentral:rRNA from 1 species
AUUGAACGCUGGCGGCAGGCCUAACACAUGCAAGUCGAGCGGAUGAAGGGAGCUUGCUCCUGGAUUCAGCGGCGGACGGGUGAGUAAUGCCUAGGAAUCUGCCUGGUAGUGGGGGAUAACGUCCGGAAACGGGCGCUAAUACCGCAUACGUCCUGAGGGAGAAAGUGGGGGAUCUUCGGACCUCACGCUAUCAGAUGAGCCUAGGUCGGAUUAGCUAGUUGGUGGGGUAAAGGCCUACCAAGGCGACGAUCCGUAACUGGUCUGAGAGGAUGAUCAGUCACACGGGAACUGAGACACGGUCCAGACUCCUACGGGAGGCAGCAGUGGGGAAUAGUGGACAAUGGGCGAAAGCCUGAUCCAGCCAUGCCGCGUGUGUGAAGAAGGUCUUCGGAUUGGAAAGCACUUUAAGUUGGGAGGAAGGGCAGUAAGUUAAUACCUUGCUGUUUUGACGUUACCAACAGAAUAAGCACCGGCUAACUUCGUG